rnacentral:lncRNA from 1 species
AUGCAAUGCAAACAAACAGUUACAGCACAUCCUGUGAUCCUGAUCCAUAGAAUACUUGAUUUAUUGGUCCAUUUGCAUGGAUAUUGUUUAUUUUUUUGCUGUCACAGUACCCAACCUACAGUACACACAUCACAGGCUGGGGUAGGACAGGGGCCCCUGGAACACUUAUGAGUAAAGUUCCUUUGCUUAUGGUCAAAACAGUAGUAGGUAGUAUCCCUGCAGAUUUAUCCUUAGGCAGCUCAGGGAUUCGAACCAGCAACCUCUCUAACCUACUGCCACCCCCAUUGAGUGAGGGCAAAUAUUUUUCUCUUUCCACACAGGGCCCAUUUGAAUCACUAUCACCACAGAUACCCCACUCCCUCAAUAUUUAAAUGUACAAAAAGUAACUUGUCAACAGCAGAUAAAGCUUUAUUUACAUGUCCUCUGGUGGAAGAGGGGAAAGUUCACUAGCUGCUUCCCAGGAGGGGCCGUUGACUACCUCUCUCCCAACCCUUCUACAGUACGCCCCCAGCUCUUUAGCCUUGUUUCUUCAUUAGCAUUAGCGACCAGGCUAACACAGGGUUCUGUGUACAGGAAGGAUGUGGGUCUGUGUGUGACUGGUGGCCCUGUAUGUGUGUGUUGGCAGAGGGGCAGCCCCUCCCUGGAUGCCCUUGUGGUGGGGUGCCAGAGCCGGAGGUCCUGAGGGUGGCGGAGGAAGGACCAGAGCAACACUGACCUCACUGAAGGAUUCAUCCUCAGUCUCAACAGAGUCUAAGAUGUCAAAUCAAUUAAAUCAAAUCAAAUUUUAUUGGUCACAUACACAUGGUUAGCAGAUGUUAAUGUGAGUGUAGUGAAAUGCUUGUGCUUCUAGUUCCAAUAGUGCAGUAUUAUAACAAUUCCCCAACAACUACCUAAUACACACAAAUCUAAAGGGGUGAAUGAGAAUAUGUACAUAUAAGUAUAUGGAUGAGCGAUGGCCAAGCGGCAUAGGCAAGGUGCAAUAGAUGGUAUAAAAUACAGUAUAUACAUGUGAUAUGUAAACAUGAUUAAAGUGGCAUUAUUUAAAGUGGCAUUGUUAAAAGUGACUAGUGAUCCAUUUAGGGCUAGGCCACCUUUUUCUCCACUUACUGUCUGAAUGACGUGCCCAAAGUAAACUGCCUGUAGCUCAGGCCCUGAAGCUAGUAUACGCAUAUAAUUGGUACCAUUGUUUUCUUUCCAAUUUGAAGUUUGUAGAAAUGUUAAAAUAAUGUAGGAGAAUAACACAAUGGAUAUGGUAGGAGAAAAUCCAAAGAAAAACCAACCAGAAUUUUUAUUUGAGAGACCAUCCUCUUAGAAAGGCAAGAGAAAGGUCCUGUAUUGACGCUUUGCCUGUUUGAUGGUUCGUCUGAGGGCGUAGCGGGAUCUCUUAUAAGCAUCUGGGUUAGAGGCUCUACCCUUUAGCUCAGUGCCGAUGUUGCCUGUAAUGCAUGACUUCUGGUUGAGAUAUGUACGUACGGUCACUGUGGGGACGACGUCAUCGAUGCACUUAUUGAUGAAGCCGGUGACUGAUAUACUCCUCAAUGCCAUCGAAUGAAUCCUGGAACAUAUUCCAGUCUGUGCUAGCAAAACAGUCCUGUAGCUUAGCAUGUGCGUAAUCUGAUCACUUCCGUAUUGAGCUAAUUUCUAUCUAUGUGCAACCAGAAGAAAAAAACUCUAGAUGACCUUUACUCCACACACAGAAUUAUGGUCUCUAUCUUCCUGAUUCCUGUUUACAUGCACUGGUACUUCCUGCUUUUAGUUUUUGCAUGUAAACAGGAAUCAGGAAGAUAGAGACCGUAAUUCUGUGUGUGGAGUAAAGGUCAUCUAGAGUUUUUUUUCUUCUGGUUGCACAUAGAUAGAAAUUAGGUAAAACGGAUUUAAGUUUACCAGCAUUAAAGUCCCUGACCACUAGGAGCGCCACCUCUGGAUGAGCACUUCUGUCACAUCUGCUCCUGCAACGCCCUCUACUGCUCAUCCUGUGUCUCCUUGACCUGCCGCCACUCCCCCAGUACUCUCUCCCUCUCCCUCUCUGUGUGUGAUUGUGUGGGCCAGAGACAGGUGUGCUGGAGUCAGAGCAGAUCCCCACCAGCUGCAACCUGUUCCAUAAUCAAGACCUCUACAAAUACUCAGCCCUGCCACUUCCACGCUGCCAGAUUGUAAUCUCUGCUCAUGCCACGUCUCGUCAUCCUGCACUCUGUCCUGGAUUCCCCACUCUACUACUCCCUUGGAUUCCCCUCCAGACCUGCUUACCCUGUCUCAACCCCUCUCGCUCCAGCCUCAGCCUCCGCACCUGGUUUCCAGCAACCCCCCCGAGCUUCCCCUGACCUGCACUCCAU